rnacentral:rRNA from 1 species
AAUUAAGCAAGCUAGCCAGUCACACACACAAGCAUGGACGCUGCAGGGUGUGGAGAGGGUUCGCAGGGUCAGCCCUCCGCUAGAUCGGUUGCCUCCCCGUCCCUCACCUCUCCACCUCCCGCUACUUAUAUGCCAAAGCCUAUGCUUGUAAGGGUCAGCACCUUCCUCACCUCACCUCGCCUCGCCUUGCCCAUCUCCUCCUCUCCAGCUCCCUCCCUCUCUCUUCGCCUCCAACUGCAGCUGCGUCUGCUGCUGCUGCCUUACUUGUUGCAGCUUGCAGACUCCUUCUCGGCAGGAACUAACACCGCCUUCAGUUUAAAUUGAUACAUCGACGCACCAGACGUGGGAGAAGCCAGUAGCAUGAGGGACAUGGCAGAGAGGAGAUCAAGGCAUGGGCAUGGGCAUGGGCACGGGCAUGCCAACGUCGUGCCGUUCGGGGCAGGCGCAGGAGGAGGGUUGCAGCAUGGAGAGCAUGAGCAGGAGGUCAAGGAGAAGAAGCUCGACAUGAGCGGCCUGUCCAUGGACACUAUCCCGCACCUCACCAUGUCCCUUGGCCACAUCACCACCUUGGACCUCUCCAACAACAAUCUCGAGAGCAUUCCAGAGUCAAUGAUCGCGCGGCUGCUGAACGUGGUGGUGCUGGACGUGCGCUCCAACCAGCUCAAGUCGCUGCCCAACUCCAUCGGCUGCCUCUCCAAGCUCCGGGUCCUCAACGUCUCCGGCAACCUGCUCCAGUCCCUUCCCGCCACCAUCGAGGAGUGCCGUGCGCUGGAGGAGCUGAACGCCAACUUCAACCAGCUGACGCGGCUGCCGGACACGCUGGGCUUCGAGCUCCACAGCCUCCGGAGGCUCUCCGUCAACUCCAACAAGCUCACCAGCCUCCCCUUCUCCACGUCCCACAUGACGGCGCUGCGGGCCCUGGACGCGCGCCUCAACUGCAUCCGCGCCCUCCCCGAGGGCCUCGAGAACCUCGUCAACCUCGAGGUGCUCAACGUCAGCCAGAACUUCCACUUCCUUAGGGAGCUGCCCUACGGCCUGGGGCUCCUCACCUCGCUCCGGGAGCUUGACAUCAGCUACAACUCCAUCUCCGUGCUCCCAGACUCCAUGGGCUGCCUAGCCAAGCUCAACAAGUUCAGCGCCGUCGGGAACCCGCUCGUCUGCCCGCCUAUGGACAUCGUCGAGCAGAGCCUUGACGCCAUGCGUACCUACCUCAGCUCCAGGAUGAACGGCACCGGCGUCAACGCCAAGAAGAAGAAGGGGUGGCUGCCCAGGAUGGUCAAGUACAACACCUUCUCCGGGCGGAUGACUCCCGGACGCAAGAGUGCCCACGACAACUCUGAGGGCUUCUCGAUGUCGGAUUACCACUCACUCAACGGCUCCGCAUCUCCGGGGUUCCUCUCCAUGCUUUCGCCACGACGGCUCUUCUCGCCACGGAGAGAUUCGCCCAAGCAUCAUUAAGGGUGGUCCACUUUGUAAGUGGUUUGAUCCUUCAAGUAUUCAGAUGAAAUGCUCCUAGGUGCUGCUGUUUCUGCAGGUGUGUACAUAUGUCUGAAGAGGUAUAUAUAUAUACAGUAGUGUGUAGUAGUACAAUAGGGCAUUGAUGUACAUAGAAACAAAGAAGAGCGCUUUUACUUUCCUUCUGUAUUUUUGUUUACUCGUUACAGUCUUACAGAUGCUUUUGUAAGUGCAGUGGAUUUUGAGUGAAAUUGUAAUCCUUUAUAUGUUGAAUGAACAUAAAGCUUGAGGUUUGGAAUGCAAUCCUUUAU